rnacentral:rRNA from 1 species
GAUGAACGCUGGCGGCGUGCCUAACACAUGCAAGUCGAACGGAGAUUCCGGACGGAAGUUUUCGGAUGGAAGCCUGUAAUUCUUAGUGGCGGACGGGUGAGUAACGCGUGGGCAACCUGCCCUAUACAGGGGGAUAGCAGCUGGAAACGGCUGGUAAGACCGCAUAAGUCGGUUAAAUCGCAUGAUUUGAUCGGGAAAUGAGCAAUCAGGUAUAGGAUGGGCCCGCGUCCGAUUAGCCAGUUGGCAGGGUAAAAGCCUACCAAAGCGACGAUCGGUAGCCGGACUGAGAGGUCGGGCGGCCACAUUGGGACUGAGACACGGCCCAAACUCCUACGGGAGGCAGCAGUGGGGGAUAUUGCACAAUGGAGGAAACUCUGAUGCAGCGACGCCGCGUGAGUGAAGAAGUAUUUCGGUAUGUAAAGCUCUAUCAGCAGGGAAGAUGAUGACGGUACCUGACUAAGAAGCCCCGGCUAACUACGUG